rnacentral:rRNA from 1 species
UACAGAGGUGGCAAGCGUUGUUCGGAAUUACUGGGCGUAAAGGGCGCGUAGGCGGCCGGCCAAGUCGGGGGUGAAAGCCUGUGGCUCAACCACAGAAUGGCCCUCGAUACUGGACGGCUCGAGACCGGAAGAGGUUGGUGGAAUUGCGAGUGUAGAGGUGAAAUUCGUAGAUAUUCGCAAGAACACCGGUGGCGAAGGCGGCCAACUGGUCCGGAUCUGACGCUGAGGCGCGAAAGCUAGGGGAGCAAACGGG